rnacentral:rRNA from 1 species
GUCCACGCUGUAAACGAUGGGCACUAGAUGCUGCGGGUAUUGACCCCUGCGGUGUCGUAGUUAACGCGUUAAGUGCCCCGCCUGGGGAGUACGGUCGCAAGAUUAAAACUCAAAGGAAUUGACGGGGGCCCGCACAAGCGGUGGAGCAUGUGGUUUAAUUCGACGCAACGCGAAGAACCUUACCUGGGUUAGACAACAGUGGACAUCCUCAUAGAUGAGGCUUUCCCUUCGGGGACCGCUGGUUCAGGUGCUGCAUUGCUGUCGU